UGGGGAAUAUUGCACAAUGGGCGAAAGCCUGAUGCAGCAACGCCGCGUGAGUGAUGAAGGCCUUCGGGUUGUAAAGCUCUGUCUUUUGGGACGAUAAUGACGGUACCAAAGGAGGAAGCCACGGCUAACUACGUGCCAGCAGCCGCGGUAAUACGUAGGUGGCAAGCGUUGUCCGGAUUUACUGGGCGUAAAGGAUGCGUAGGCGGAUUUUUAAGUGAGAUGUGAAAACCCUAAGCUUAACUUGGGGACUGCAUUUCAUACUGGAAAUCUAGAGUGCGGGAGAGGAGAAUGGAAUUCCUAGUGUAGCGGUGAAAUGCGUAGAGAUUAGGAAGAACACCAGUGGCGAAGGCGAUUCUCUGGACCGUAACUGACGCUGAGGCAUGAAAGCGUGGGUAGCAAACAGGAUUAGAUACCCUGGUAGUCCACGCCGUAAACGAUGAGUACUAGGUGUAGGAGGUAUCGACCCCUUCUGUGCCGCAGUUAACACAAUAAGUACUCCGCCUGGGAAGUACGAUCGCAAGAUUAAAACUCAAAUGAAUUGACGGGGUCAUAGC
rnacentral:rRNA from 1 species